rnacentral:lncRNA from 1 species
GGGUCACGCCCAAGGCAUAUGGAAGUUCCCAGGCUAGGGGUCGAAUCAGAUCUACGGCGUCCAGCCUACACCACAGCUACAGCAACACAGGAUCCAAGCCAUGUCUGUGACCUAUACCACAACUCACAGCAACACCAGAUCUUUAACCCCCUGAGCAAGGCCAAGGAUUGAACGCUCGUCCUUAGGGAUAUUAGCCAAGUUCAUUAUUGCUGAGCCACCACGGGAACUCCCCUGAAGCUCCUUCUCGAUAGUGUGUCUGAAGCACUGGCUGCUGGCCGGCAAUCUCUGUAUAUACCUUAUUUCCCUCUGCCCUCACGCUAACCCUAAGAGGUAGGGUCUCUGUGAAUCCCAUUUAAAAGACAAAGACACCCAGGCUCCUGGAGGUCAGGCGACACGCUGCCAAAUGGUGCAACCAGGACUUUGGUCUCUCCGUCCUUGGAUGCAGCCUCUGAAUCCUGUUCAUUUCUGGAGCCCAUCUCCGCCUCCCGGAAGGGCUGCCUGGGUGUCGAGCCCGUUACCAGCUUUAUCUCCCACGGGCAAGCUCCUUGCAGGCAGUGAACUUGUGUCCUUGGCUUUUGUGGCCCCCCGUGGACCACGCACCCACCCAGUGGGUGCUUUAGAAAUUACCAGGUAGCGACUGUUAAUGGGCUCCGUAGGUUGGGGCUGAUCCCCGGCCGUGGCCGUGGCCUGGAUAGGCUCCAGUUUCUCAGCAGUCUCCACAGGGGUACGGAUUCCUGCUGGGAUGUUCUGUGAACUGUGGGCCAGCUGGUUUCUCGGCCCUCUUUUGGACUUAAAGGAACACCGGUGUGUUGCAAAGCUCGGGUCCUGCCGGGAGAGCCCGAAUCUCUUACUCUCUUCCCAGAAAAAUAGAUCGAAAUUUUGCUUUCCUUUUUACCGCCAUCGCAGAGCAGAUGUUAACUUUCCAAUAAACGGGGGGAAAAAAAUAGAGGAGAGACAUUUAGCCAACUAUAGCUGUGCAGGCCGGAGUUAUCACUCUGAUUUCAACUGGGACCAUAAAAUUUUAUGAGCUAUUAAAUUGUCCUAAAGCGCCUUUAAGAUACAAACUUGAGUGUCUGAGAUGGCCCAUUAAAAAAAGUGGGUUACAUCAGGAGAACUUUUACUACCAACCCUCAGAUGUGUUCAAUCAAUAAAACUUCUAACUAGCCGUGUGGCUUUGGGCAGAGAAUGUGGGUCCUGCUGGGGCUGGGCCAGCUGGUGGUCCCAGAAACAUCCUUGAGCAUGAAGGGAGCCAGACAGCAGGGCUGUCGGCCAGGGCCUGGCACCUCUGAGGCUUCCUGAACAUUCUGCUUCCUGCCUGGGCUUCCAUGGUCAAGCGGUGGACGGAGCUGGGAGGUGGGCCAGAGACCAGCAUGUCAGGUCUUGUAGCCACAAGUGGGCUUAGGGUGUCCCUGCUUCCUGGGGGAAAUGGGGGCACCGCGGGGCCGUCCUGGGAUGAGACGGGCCAGCCCUGAGCCACUGCUGCCCUUGAGGCCUUGAGCCUGCCCCUCGCAUCUUGUGUACAGACCGUGGGGUCUGGGGCCCAGGGGCGUCGCCUACCUGCUUGGCCGCUAUUGUCCCCAGAUUCUAGGCGCUUAGGGUGGCCAGGAGGCCUGGUCCUGGCAGCCAGCGGCAGGGCCGACCCUGGCCUCCUAGCCCAUUGCGACAGCCCAGUUGGGCAAUUCCCACGGGCUGAGCUGUGCCCGGAGCUCAGUUUCCUCGUCCCAGUGUCUGGAUCCGCGCAGACACGUGCCCCCAUCGCUGUUUAUGUGGUUGCCUCUAAUCUCCCAGCCUCUGGAGCCUCUGUCCGUCUCUGGCUGGGUUCCCCGCCGUGCUCUGGUCCCAAGGUCAGGGAGUCGGUCCUCCCAGGCCUGCAGCCCAGCCAGCUGGGAGAAGGCCCGGGGAGGGGCUUCCUGGGGCAGCCAGGCGGAUGGGCCUGCAUCAGUGGGGUGUUUGGGGGUGUCUAGCUGGGACAGGGCGUCAGCGUGCUGACCAGGGCAGGACAUCAGGCCUGCCUUGAGGCGUGUGUUCCGCCAGACGCCAAUUAGCCUGGAAUUCAGAGGCCCGUGGCCUCCUCGCCCGCCUGGAGAUAGGGCCUCGGAUCCGCUCCACCAGACGGCUCCUGUGUGGCCUCGCUGGGAGUCCUGGAGUCCCUCCACCCAGGAACACUUCCAGGGGUCAGAGGGCUCUCAGCCUCCCAGUCUCAGCUGGGGUGGGAAAGGGAAGGGUCUGGACUGCAGGCCCCUGGGAUCCUGACCCAACCCUGCCACCAACUGAAGGAGGGCUGGUGCAGUCAUUGUCCCUCCAGGGGCCUUGAGAAGGGAGGGGGGACCCCCCACCUUGAGCCCUGGGUCUUUCUCUGCUCUAAAUCUCUGGGGCUCUGGCUAAAGGGUGCCCCCUAGGAGUUCCGUGUAAACAGUGAUGCGUUUGCAAGGAAAAUCCACCAGGCAACCCACGUAUCAACCAUUUCCACUCUAGCAUGAAUCAGCUUUUCAGACCAGCUUGGGUGCAGAGCUGGGAGGGGACAGGUGCUGGGCACGGCCAUGGUGAUGAGGGGUGUGGGGCAGACUGGGAGGGACCUCAGGGUGAAACUGAGAGUCCUGAGGGUCCCUGGGAAUAAGGCCUGGGAGGAGCGGGAGGUACCAUCUCAGUUUGGGGAGUGAGUUGGGAACGAGAGGCCGACACUGGGAACGGAAGCCUGUGAGUGAUGAGAACUUUCCUUCUGGGUAAUGGGGAGCCAAGGAGGGCUGUUCAGGGAGGGUGUGGCAAGCUAGUCCCCGUGUUUGGGGAAGUUGACGCCGGCGGACAGCGUGUGGCAGCUGUAGGUGGAAGAGACAGAGCAGGCCCUGAACUCUUAGAGUCCGCUGAACCCAGUGAGAAACGCCCACGGAUGAGGAGGGUGGAUGCUGGACUCUCCCUGCCCUUUAGCCAAGGUGGCAGCUUGUCUUGGUGGCUCUGCCACACGGGGCUGCCCCAAACCUCAAGGACCCCACCCCCUGCCCACAGAAGAUAAAGUUCUCUGCUCUGUUGGGGGUGGGGAAGACGUCGGGCUGCCCCAGGGCUUCUAGAAGCUUCUCCAGGAAUACCAGCUCUGUGAGAUGUUAAUGGGGUCCCAGGGAGAAGGCUCUAGGGUAAGGAGGUCUCGAGAGCCCGGGUUCGGGUCAAACCCCAUCUUCACCGCAGGGGCUUGAGCCUUUAGUCAGCAGCAGGCCCCACCACCCCUGAGCCGAGCAGGCCUGGUCCUCAAACACGAGUGACCCUGGGACCCCAUGCGGUUGCGCCUUGCGGAGCCCCCCGCAGCAAGGCUGGCAAUGCCCUCCUUGAACUCCUGGGGGUGGAGGGUGGGCAUGCCAGGUGUCAGCCGGAAGGAAAGGCCUUCCGGGUGAGGCUUCUCCCCCCACCACCUUCUGGCCGCCCCAUUGCUGGGAUGUCGUGUCCCUAGGGGGCCCUUCUCUGCCCCCCAUCACUCAGCUCUGCGUCGCCCCCUCUCCCCGCAGCAGCCCAUCCCCCGGGGGCCUUUCUCAUAGGCGUUUCCUCAGGGAUCUGGCGCCGCAGCGUUAACUUAAGUAGGGCCUGGUGUGGAGGCCCAGUGCCCCCAGGCCCGGCUCUGGACCCCAUAAGGCAAGAGCUUUGCUGGGGGUCCCAAGGUGCGCAGAGGGGCCUUCCGAGGCAGGGGUGGUGUUGGCGGAGCCCCACUGACACCGGGCUCCCACCCUGUCGGCUGAGGGAUGGGCUGAAUUGGGGGGUCCCUGCCACGGAGAUGCCCCCUGCCCGGGACCCUGCUCCUCCCGCUGCGGGAAGACCCUGUCCAGCUGGGCCCCUCCUCCUUUCCCGGGAGGGAGGAGGCAGGGGACGGAGGGCCCGCUGCACCCUCCCCCAGCCAUUACCUCUGUGGGUGCGCCUCUUCCACGCCCCUUCUGCCUGCUUUGGGGCCUUGCCCACCGCGCCCCCCAACCCUGCCCCCGCCGUCUGUCCACCUUCUUCCCUUCCCAGGCCAGGGUCUUUGAGACCCAGGCGUUCAGCCUCGGGCAGGAGUGGACCUUGGGCCCAAGGCGCCAUCCUUCUGUCCACCCACUGACCGUGUGCUCUUGGACAUGUUGGGUGACUUUUCACGGCCUCAUCUGUCGUAGUCUCGUGGGGCCCAGCCCCUGGGAACGGGGACGGGCACAUGAGGCAGUGUGCGCCUGGCAUCUGUGUCCUUAAGGGCAGAGACAGUCGGGGCUGUGUGGGCCCUGAGGGGACACCCGGCCUGGCCUCCAGGAGGGAGCGGGAGGAGGGCCACGGUGGCCCAAGGAUUGGUCCCUGGUCCUCACCCUGGGUUUCGCCCCUUGUUGCUCUGGCUGGGACAGUACUAGGUGCCCUGGCCACUUUCCCGGAAAGGGGGAGGGCACACUGGGCGUAGGCAGACCCCUCGGGCCAGGACCGGCGCUGGACAUCCGAGAGGGUGUUCUGAACGCGUGGCCCAAUGCCCACAGUAGGCAGGGGACCCAGCCCUGGGGGCGGCACAGGGUGUGUCCCCCUCCUACUCUUUGCUGCCCUAGCUGUCCUGGCGGGGCGGCUGGAACAGAACCCCAGGUGUCCCCCGCUCUCCCUGGCACUUUAGAAAGUGGAUUCAUUUGGCCUGUGGUUUCUGAGUGGUUUGGCCCACAGGUACCCAGAGGCUCCGCUGCCAGGGAUCCCCCCGCCACCAGCCGCUGGGAGCCCGAGGGGUGGACGGCCUGGCAGUGCAGGCAUUGGCUGGCAGCUGCUGCCCCCACGCCCCCGCAGCCCCUCCCAGCUGCCCGGUUUCCCAAAUGGGCCUCCUGGCGGGGCGCCUCCUGCAGCGGCCAAGCAGGAGCACUCCUCUGCCUCCCGGGCCGCCCUGCGGUUUGGGCAGGAAUUCAGGGAAUUGGCCGUUUCUGGCUCCCUAGCUGAGGACACAGUGGCUCCUGGGGGUGAGCUCCGAGCCUCAGGAGGUGCGCACAACACUUGGAGAGGAGUGGCCGGUGGGAGGGCAGCCCCAACUGGGCGUCGGGCCUGGGGGCACCAGCCAGCCUCUCGGCGGUGGGGGGUGCGCAGAGCCGUGGGGCCAGAAAACAGUGGACACUGUGACCUUAGAGGGACAUUCCCUCUCUGGUGUCAGCUUGCUCUUGCCUCUCCUUGGUUUAUUUACGUAGUCGACAGGCGUUAAUUGAGCACCAACUGUGUGCUUAAUUAAUUGAGCACCUACUGUGUACCGGCUGCUGUUCUAGCUGGUUCUCCAGGCUGCCUCGCCUUCACCCUGGCUCCCCCCAUCCUUCCUGCCCCAGGCACGGUCUCCU